UACGUAGGGGGCUAGCGUUGUCCGGAAUCAUUGGGCGUAAAGAGCGCGUAGGCGGCCAGGUAGGUCCGUUGUGAAAACUCGAGGCUCAACCUCGAGACGCCGAUGGAAACCAUCUGGCUAGAGUCCGGAAGAGGAGAGUGGAAUUCCCGGUGUAGCGGUGAAAUGCGCAGAUAUCGGGAAGAACACCCGUGGCUAAGGCGGCUCUCUAGUACGGUACUGACGCUGAGACGCGAAAGCGUGGGGAGCGAACAGG
rnacentral:rRNA from 1 species